AGGAUAAUAGUUUAAAAAAAAACUUUUAACUUGCACUUAAAAAAUAUAAUAAUUUUAUUUAUCUU
rnacentral:tRNA from 1 species